UACGGAGGGUGCGAGCGUUGUCCGGAAUCACUGGGCGUAAAGGGCGCGUAGGCGGCGCGGAUAGUCGGCGGUGAAAGCCCGGAGCUCAACUCCGGGUCGGCCGUCGAUACUUCCGGGCUUGAGCACUGUAGGGGCAGAUGGAAUUCCGGGUGUAGCGGUGGAAUGCGCAGAUAUCAGGAGGAACACCGGUGGCGAAGGCGGGUCUCUGGGCCGUUACUGACGCUGAGGAGCGAAAGCGUGGGGAGCGAACAGG
rnacentral:rRNA from 1 species